UUGCAAUUAUCUUUGAACACUUGCCACAUGUCAUUCCAGGUUCUUCCUAUUCAAGUAAACACUUGCCACAUGUCAUUCCAGGUUCUUCCUAUUCAAGUAAAACCUAUUCAAGUAAAAUGGUAUACUGACUUUAUCUGCUUUCAUUGAUUUUGAAAAAAUUGUUCACAUCGAUUAAGCCAUCCAUCAAAUGAGGAAAAAUCAAGUUUCGUAUAUCUAGACACUAUGUACCUUUCAAAAUGAUCAUGAAUGAGCUCUGAAACUUGAUGAGCAAAGUCGUUGAAUCAAGCAUCAGUUUGUGUUUGUUGCAUGAAAGGGUUUAACUUCUCUUCCAAAAUUACUAAAUCGCCCAUAAUGACCGGCUCUAGUACCAAGUUGUUAUGGGCCCUGUCUAUUAACUGGAAAAUCCUUCUCUCUCUAGACUGAUUUUCCCUUAUUAAUAUUUUUGCUUUUCUUUGAGGAAUUUAUUGUAAAAUAAAUUAAGAACUCAUUUGAGAGAAUUCUCGGAUCUCAAGUGAUGAAUAAUAUUUUUCGAAUGUCUUAUUCAAUGAUCUCAAGUGUCUUUUUAU
rnacentral:lncRNA from 1 species